AAGGGUCCCCAGAGGAACCAACAUGAAUUUUGGACUUUAGCCUCCAGAGCUAUGAGAGAGUAAGUUUCCAUUGUUUUAAACUACCUAGUCAUUUGUUAUGACAGCCCCAGAGAAGAGAACGACCACACUGUCCUUGGGCUUGAUUGAUAGUUUGGCUGGGGGUAGAGGAUCUAGGUUGCAAAAAUAGAACCAAACCUUGAUGACAUUUUUUUUGACAUUUUUCUAUCAUCUUCCAGCCUUUGGUGCUGUUGACAAAAGUAUGAUGCUUGAUCCUUGUGGACUGAGGUAAUUGGAAUCCUUGGUCUCAGAAACAGAAACAAAUUGCUAAAUGUAAGCACAAAAAUAACUCACUGGUUAAAUAUCUAGCAGUUUACAGAAUAGAUGUGAAAACUGCAGAGCCAGUCUGAGGCUAUCACCAAGGGAGGUAAGAUGUAGCCAAAGACUACCCCAGGAAUGGCCGGCCUGGAAUGUCACCACUGUUGCCACUGCAACCAGAUCCUUGACCCUGUGGGACGACGGUAGUUUCAAUAUGACUACAAAUUAUUUUUAGCUCCUUCCAGCAGGAUGAGGAGUCCAUUUCCCUACUUCUUGAAUCUGAGGUCAUGUUACAACUUCAUCUGACCAAUACAAUGCUGCACAGACACCGUGUGACUUCAUAGCUUCCACCUUAACACACCUUGCAGCUUCCACUCUCCAGUAAGACUUCCACCAAGAAGCCCAGGAUCAAAGAUUGUGUGGAGAGAGACGCCCAGCUGCCUAGUGACCCCAGCCACCCCAGGUGAGACGCAGACACCAAAGUGAAGUCAUCAGAGACAAUGCAGCCUCAAGCCACAAGCUAUCAGCAGCUGCAUAAGCGACCUCAGGCAACAGAUCCGACGAAAAUUUUAUUCAGCACUAGACUGACUGGUCUCCAUAAAAUUUCCUCUUGCUUUUGACCCCUGAAAGUCCUCAUGGUCCUGCUGCUGCCGCCAACACCACUGUCCCAAGAACCUGCCUUGACGCUCAAAGGACUAGGACUUGUGGGGACUCUGGUCGGUGUCGGGUGUGGACAGUGAGUUCACCCGCCACACCGUAGCUGACUUCCAUUCCUGCUUCCGUGCUGCACAUAGAAUCUCCUUGGUGCUCUUAGUCCAAUUAACACCCUCCCAGUCUUGGCAUCCCUCUUCUUGCUUUUCUGAUCCAAAUCUGAAGCAGGCAUCCUGGUGAAUGAGAGAGGAAUAUAAUGUGUCAGCAGGCUGAUUCGUGCCUUUGUCCCCACUGCCCUCACUCAGCAUCAAGUGUGACAGCCUGCCUCCUGGAGCUGGGAGGAGAACAGAGCUCACCUUCCCCAGGGAAGACACACACUGAACACACAGUGUGAUCCCAGAGCCCGGCAAGGAGAGCAUCAACUAGCUGCUCCUCAUCAUAUUGGAGGAAAAGAGGACUCCCCAGGGAAACAAGGGAAAGGCAUUCCAGGCAGAAGCAGCAGUGUGUGAGAAAGCAGAAGGUAGCUGGUAUGUUUUGGGGGACACCAAGAAGCCCAGUGUGUGAGCCUGGGAGAUGAUGCAGGGUCUUGAAAUUUUUAGACUCUGUGUUGAAGGCCUGAAGGAGAGAAAUCUUGUGUGAGAAAUGGACAAGAACCUUUCCUAACCUGGUCACAGGUGUACAGAAGAGAGCCACGAGCCCCACAGAAGCAUACUGACCCUGAUCAUUCAGCCAGUUGCCCUGGUUAUACCUGAGGAAGUGACCGCCCCUCACUCCGGUGCUAAGAAUAUCUGGGUUCCCGGACCAUCACCUCCUCAAGCGGAGCAUCUGAAGUCCACACCAGACCAGGAAAUUGCAGCAGCAGCAGCAGCAGCUUUCUCCAGGAGCCCUGGUUGCUGGCGUUCCCGGGAUGGAUGAAGUGUCCCGUGGCUUGGUUCCCCACUGUCUCGAAGCCCUGGACACAGCCCUCGUUCAUCCUGGGAAGGAGGGCAGAAACUGGCAGAGCUCUGAGGGCAGCCACGCCCUUCCCAGGCCCUGCCCUCUCCUGGCACCCACCCGAAGGCUGCAGUGGGUUGGUGGACGUUGCUGGUAAGGCCAGGGCCCCACAGGGUCUGUGAGUGCCCCAUCAAAGCACAAGUCCCACAGUAGAUAUGGAAAUGGCUCGCUGAGGGCCUGGGAAUCACCUUGAACAGCUUUUCCCACAUUUUGCCAAGGCCACUUGCUGAGUUCAUGCCCUGGAAACAGCAGAAAGAAGACUGGGGGCUGGGAGCUGGGUAUCGGCUCUAGUGGAAAGAAAGCAGACCUGUAGGGUGAGACCCUUAUACUGGUGGUCAGGGUUUGAGGCCAUGAGGAGGAGAGGUGCGCUAAACCAGGGCCGAGGGCAGGGGCUGGGUGAGAAAGUGGGACAUGGGCUGGGCCUUGGAAGGACCAGGGGUGGGACUGGGGCCAGGGUUGGCCACUGACCAACCAACAGAGUACAGUAUCAGGGGUCAUGGAUUCUGUUGCCCCCAUCAGGUGCUCCAGGGCCUUCUCAUAGCAGGUAGCAAAUCGGUUCCGUUCUCCAACUCUGUGGUAGCAGAGGGAGGCGUUUAGUGUCUCGGAUGGGCAGCCACUUCUCCUGAAUUUGAGCCAAGGGCAGUUGCAAUGCCGUGGUACCAAGGCCAUCAGUUUUCCCUGGGGUGGCGAUUCAGGUUUGGGAUCCAGGCAGGGUGCCAUCAGCCACAUGAUGAGUACCCAGAAGACCCACAGGACAAAAAUCUGCCACAAGUGCUUCAUGUCCUGGGGCAGACAGCAGACUGACUUCUCUACCUGGGAUUGAGAAGGAGGAGAAACUGAGGCCCUAGGCUCUCUCUGUCCCUUUGGCCCCUAUGGCCCCCCAACCCACCACAUCAUACCUCCUGCCUCCCUGCCCAUUUGCUCACCUCCAGAGAGGACCUAGCUGGCCCUGGGAUGGAAAGUGCAAGUGCAGAGAGAUAACAUAUGGUGGGUCCCGUAUCCUCCAUCAGGAGGAAGGAUUAGCUCUCAGUGUGGUCCCCCAUGCCACCAAUCAUACCACAGAUCUCAUCAUAAAGUAUACAUUGUGACCUCCCUUCUGUAGCCUGCCUGGGCAGAGCCGCUACCCAGUCCUGUCUGCGAUAUACCAGCAGUCUGCAUGAGGGCAGAGAUGGAACUUGACUGUCUUUUUUAGCUCUGCAUCCCUAAGACUGAGAAUCAUUUAAUAAAUAUUUGUGGGAUACAUGAGCAGAGAUGAGAGGGAACUGAGAGACUAAUUAGUGUCUGUGUGAUGCCCCUCUCUCCAAACGUGUAACUAGGCUCAGAUCUCUCUUCUAUUCUCCAGACCUCAUACCCAACAGCCUUAUGGACUUACCCUUAGAUGUCUCAGAGACCUCUCCUAACUCAGGAUUUUCCCUGUAAGCCAAUUCCUUCCCAAGACUUCUCCAUCUCGGUAAAUGUCCCACCUGUCACCAAGUGGCUCGAGCCAGAAACCUAUGGGCUCUCCUGGAUUUCUCCUUCUCUUGUGAUUUCCAAAACCAUUUUCCAUCCAUUUGUUUCUGUCUCCAUACCACCUUCUUCAUUUCCACUACCACCACCCCCCCUUUUUUGUUAAGAUUUUAUUAUUUAUUCAUGAGAGACACGCAGAGAGAGGCAGAGACAUGGGCAGAGGGAGAAGCAGGCUCCAUGCAGGGACCUGAUGCAGGACUUGAUCCCUGGACCCCAGGAUCAUGACCUGAGCCAAAGGCAGACACUCAACUACUGAGCCACCCAGGCACCCCAGCUGGGUAUUUUAUAGCUUUUAAAACAAUUCACAAAAAAAAACUGAGUAAGGUCUAUACUUUAAUUAAUUGUGCUGUGCCAAUGCCAAUUUCCUGGUUUGGACAAUGUCCUGUUGCUACUAUAUAAGAUGCUACCAUUAGGGGAAACCGGGUACAUAGGACCUCUCCUUACUAUUUUUGCAAUUUCUUAUGUGCCUAUAGUUAUUUAAAAACAAAAAGUUGUGUUGUGUUUUGUUUUUUAAAGAUUUAUUUACGUAUUUUGGAGAGACAGAGACAGAGAACGGGGAGAAGUACAAGGAGAGAGAGAAAAGAAUCUCAAGCAGACUCUUCACUGAGUGCAGAGCCCAAAGCUUGACUCGGGCUCAACCUCACAAUCCUGAGGCCAUGAUCUGAGUCAGAACCAAGCGUGGGAUGCUCAACAGACUGUGCCACCCAGGCACCCCUCAAAAUAAAAAGGUUUUAAAAAUCCUCUAGAAAAAAAUGUAUAGUAAGCUUUAUUGCAGUUUCCUUCAUAUCAAGUGAUAUAUUUUAUUAUUUUAUUUAUUAUUGUAUUAUUGUAUUAUUGUUUUUUAUUAUUGUAAAACACUCAGAAAUUACCUUUCCAACCAUUUUAAAGUGUAGAAUUCAGUGACAGUACAUUGUGCAGUACUAUGCAGCUACCAUCUCCAUCUAGUUCCGGAACAUAUUCAUCCCCACAAGAGGCAGCUCCAUUCCCGGUAAGCAAUCAAGUCCUAUUUUCAUCUUCUCCAGCCUCUGGUAAGGUAGGAGUUUUUAAAAAUUAAAACAUCUUAAAAUAUUAGCCUUGCUUUUCUUUUUGACAACUUUGUUGAGGCACAAUUUGCAUGUCAAAAAAAAUCACACAUUUUAAAUUCAAUGAUUUUUUUUAGUAAAUUUGUAGUUAUGUAAGCAUCACCACAAACCAGUUUCGAAUGUUCCCAUCAGAGACCCCUCAUUCACAUUUACCAUCAAUCUCUCUCCUCAUUCCAAGCAACUCAAACCUACUUCCUCUAUAGAUUUGCCUUGUUUGGGCAGCCCCGGUGGCUCAGUGGUUUAGUGCUGCCUUUGGCCC